rnacentral:tRNA from 1 species
GCGAGAUUAGUUUAGUGGUAGAAUGAGUGCUUCCCAAGCACUAGGCAGGGGUUCGAUUCUCCUAUCUCGCA